rnacentral:rRNA from 1 species
UUCCAGCUCCAAUAGCAUAUACUAAUGUUGUUGCGGUUAAAAAGCUCGUAGUCAGAGUUGUGUCCCACGCUGCCGGUCCACAGACUGUCUGUGCAGACUGCGCACGUCGCUGGGACGUCAUGGCCGGGAGCGGCUACGUCCUAGGCGAUUAUUCCCUCCUGCUACGUGGUUCUUCGGAGAUACGGAUCGGUCAUUCGGAAGGCAGGUUUACCUGUUUCUUCCGGUGUCCUUUCACGCCUCCGUCCCGCGUUGGGAGGGUUUCGUCUAGGCGGGCCGCAAAAUUCAUAGGUCCCGACCUGGUGCUCUUAACCGAGUGCCGAGGAGGGCCGGCACUCUUACUUUGAACAAACUCGAGUGCUCAAAGCUGGCCUUCUGGCCCAGACGCUGUGUGCAUGGAAUAACGGAAUAGGAUUUCGGUUCUGUUUCGAUUGGUUUCACAGCUCCGAAGUAAUGAUCAAAAGGAGCAGGCGGGGGCAUUCGUACUGCGACGUUAGAGGUGAAAUUCUUAGAUCGUCGCAAGACGGACAAAAGCGAAAGCAUUUGCCAAGGAUGUUUUCACUGAUCAAGAGCGAAAGUUGGAGGAUCGAAGGCGAUCAGAUACCGCCCUAGUUCUAACUAUAAAUGAUGCCAGCCAGCUAUGCACCGCAGUCGCCUUUGACUCGGAGCGAAGCUUCCGGGAAACCAGAGCUUUCAGGUUCCGGGGGAAGUAUGGUUGCAAAGCUGAAACUUAAAGGAAUUGACGGAAGGGCACCACCAGGAGUGGAGCUUGCGGCUUAAUUUGACUCAACACGGCAAAAUUUACCAGGGCAGGACAUACGUAGGAUUGACAGAUUGAAGAUCUUUCUUGAUUGUGUGGGUGGUGGUGCAUGGCCGUUCUUAGUUCGUGGACUGGUCCGUCUGCUUGAUUGCGGUAACGAACGAGACUCUAACCUGCUAAAUAGUCCAUAUAGAGAUCCCUUCGGGGCUAUCUGAGAGAAACCCUUCUUAGAGGGAACAGCGGCCUCGAGUCGCAUGAUAUAGAGCAAUAACAGGUCUGGCAUGCCCUUAGAUGUCCUGGGCCGCACGCGUGCUACAAUGAAAAAAGCAGCGUGAACAAUCCUAGGCCGAGAGGUCCGGGUAAUCAGAUAAAACUUUUUCAUGCAGGGGAUAGGGGCUUGCAAUUGACCCCUUGAACAAGGAAUUCCCAGUAGGCGUGAGUUAGGAGCUCGCGUCGAUUGAGUCCCUGCCCUUUGUCCACACCGCCCGUCGCUACUUCCGAUCGAAUGGGGUAGUGAGGUCUCCGGACCGAUGCUACAGGUUCAAAAGACCUUAGCUUUGGGAGGCUGACCAAACUUGCUCGUUUAGAGGAAGUAAAAGUCGUAACAAGGUUUCCGUAGGUG